AGAAUUCCAACAUUGUACAUGUUGGUUAUGUCAAUGAGUAUACGCUGGUUGUUUUCAAGAAAAGAAUUUAUAGUGUUGGCUACUUUCAGCAAUACCAGCUGCCAGCUGAUUGCCCAUCUAUCAUGAAUAAUAGACCUCAUUUGGAGAAUUUAGAACCUCUCACGGAGAUCAAGAAAGGGGAACAUGAGAAAAGCAUAGCUUAUUUGCCCAAUUUCAUUGAUUUGCCCGCCAGGAAGCAGUUAGUGUAUGUUGAGAUUGGGGGUGGCGAGCAUAUGAAUUCUAGCGUUUCGAGUUGGUUCUUGCCAUCUUAUCCCGCAGAUCACAGCACCUUCAAUGUUUUUUUUGUCGACCAUAACACCUCGGUCCUGCUUUCUUGUGUGAAAAAGCCUGGUGUUACCUUCAUUUAUUAUCCAGGCCUUGCUGGAGAUGAGGCUACUCUUGAUCCUGAUUUGGAAGAGUUCGAUCCAUCCAUGCGAGAUGAAGGGUUUGAUUUCCUUGCUUGGUUUAGAGAAACAGUGCAGUAUGCUGACUUUGUGGUUUUAAAGAUGAAAGCAGGGGAGGUCGAACUGAAAUUUCUGUCUGGUUUGUUCAAAAGCGGAGCCAUAUGCUUUAUUGAUGAGCUGUUUCUCAGUUGCUCAGAUCAGGACGGUGAAAAAGGCCGGGAGAAGGGAGACUGCUUGGAUCUCUUCAAGAGCCUUAGAAACACUGGUGUGUAUGUCCAUCAGUGGUGGGGAGAGUAACCACCAAUUGAUGUCUGUUGAACCCUAUGUGCGAUGGAGUCUUGUUUAAACUGUGUGUGCUGUUUUUCCAACGUUAUCGUGGUUGUGUCAAGUUUCUUGUAAGAAUGCAGUGGAGGCAUUCAAAGUUGCUUAAUGGUUGGGCACUUUAGCUAAAUAAUCAACCAUUGUCUUUCAUGUUGUUGAAUAAAUUAUUGUGUGCUUUUUAAGAUGCUGUUCGUGGUGAUUUUUCCUUUUUUAUUCUUGAAGUGUUUUGGGUGUCGUUCUCAGAAUAUGAUACUCAUGGAAGCUAUUAAUUAAUUAUUAUAUCAUGUGAUUGUGAGCCUCACCAACCUCGCUUUACAGCUCACUUUCUUCACAUCAAGGCAUCGCUUUGGAGGUCGUUUUCUCGCAUUUGGAUUCCUCGUAAUCAAUAUCAAAGACGUAAUCUUUGCUAAUAGCAUUCAAAGACUUGAUUAAUUAUUCAAGGGAUUCCAGUUCCGCUACUGAUAGAUGAGUGGAAGCCUCUCAUUCUCUGCUCUCCAUGAAUGUACUGAGGUUGAAACGAGUCCCGUGUUCUUGACUCGCAUGUUCGGCUGCCUGGCUUCUGAGAUCACCUGCAUUUGUAUAGCCUUGGCUUCUUGUCGGUGGACAAGAAUCUAUAGGAAGGGAAGCCGAAAUGCCGUGGUUGAUCAGAUCAUUAUCUAAUCUUGCUAUUUUCAUAAAUUAACUUUUUUCCAUUUUUAUAAAACGAAACAAAAAACCUUUUGUGGAUUAAUAAUGGUGGCAAAUUGAUAUUACCAGUCACUCUGUUACCGUUUUAUGCAAGUCAUUUUAUCCUUCCACCACAAGGAAAUGCCAUGUGGUUAGGCAGGAGAAUGAACGGAUGACCACAAUUCAAUACAAUCCUUUCCUAAAAAAUUAUGAAGCUAAAUUCAUGUUCUGUGUCGUAUUCUUUUUUAAUAUCUGUUAUUCAAGUUGAGAAUUAGGGCAUGUUUUUUUCUGCCUGUGAAUUUUUCAAUACAUUUUCAUAUUUAUUCUUACAGUCUAAAAUCACAUGCAUUUAUUAACAUAUACUAAAAGAGCUGUUCUUCUUCUUUUUUUUUUUUUUUACUUUAAAUCAAUUAUUGUAUACUAAUGGAUUGAAGUGGUGAAUUUUUUUUUUUUUUUUGUAAUUUUCAAUUUGUUCUUAAAACUUUUAUAUUGCAUGAUUUAGUUUUUUUAAGCCUAAAAUAACACAGCACUCAAUUGUAUAAUUUUUUUGAGAGGAAAGGUUGAACUAAAAGAUAAAGGACUAAAAGCACGGGUAAAGUAGGGUGGUAGAUUUUAAAUUUUUUUGAAAAGUUUAUUUUUACCCUCUAUUUUUUUUAGUUAUUAGGUAAUUAGUCCCUUUAAUUUUUAAAAAUUUAAUUUUGAUACUAAAUUUUAUUUUUUUUAUUUUCAAUCAUUUUUUUGUGAGAGGAAAGAGAGACUUAUCGGAUUUCAGCUUAGAAAAAAAAAGUUAUCAUUAACAGUGAUUCCAACCACUAAAAUUAUUAAUUUUUUUGUCAAAAGAUUUCAUAUAAUAAAGUGAGUUCAAAUUAGAUAUGUGUGUGUUUGUUUGUUUUUUUUUUUUUUACCUUGAAAAUAUCUAAAAAAUAUAUUUGAGUCUGAAAAGAUUUUUUGUUUUUGUUUGAUUUUUGUUUUUGAGGAAAAAAUAAUGGGUUGAAAAUGAGUUUAUUGAUAAAAAAAAAUUAGAAAUCCUGUUUUUUCCAGCCAUUGUGAGGAUUCCGAGAUGAUGUGUUGUCCUUUUAUUUUCAAAUAAUUAAAGGCCCGCGCACAGGUUGUUGCUUACUUCUUAGUUUGGUGUGUGACUUGGUUUACCAGGUCCAAUAGCAUUUGGCCUCAUUCAUUUUUCAGUGUGUUUGAUCAAGUUGCAUUUUGACUCGUUAGGUUAAUAAGAUCAUAUAAAAUCAAAUUUAAUUUAAAAUCAGGACACAACCCAAUAACUCUUCAAUUUUAAUUGAAAUAUAUUAAAUAAUUAUCUACUUGAGAUAUUAUUUUAUUGAAUAGAAAAAUUCAUUAGGGAUUUAAGAUGAAGGGCUUUUAAUCAAAUAGAUACCUUUUUUAUUUUGAUCUCUGAUAUCUAGAAAUUUUUAGGUAUUGUUUUUUAUUUUUAUUAAAUAAAGUAAAUAGAAAAAAAUAUGUUUUUUCAUGGAAAAUAAAAUUAACAAGAGAAGUAGAGGCUAUACUAGUAUAUCAUUUUGUUGCAAUAGGAUAUAAAUUAUUGGUUUUGAAGAUAAGUAAUUGAAAAAUAAUUAAAUAAGAAAAAUUUAACGGUUUUUUCAGUAUGAGUAUGAAAUUAUAUAUCUUAAUUUAUAAUUAUAUAUUUCUUGAUUGAUUUUUUUUUAUUGUUAACAACUUUCUUUUAAUAUUUAUUGGCUAAAAAAUAAUUCCUUUUUUAUUUUAUUAAAUACAUAUGUGGAAUUUUCAUUUUGCAACUAGAAUAUUUCUUGAUGUUAAGAACACUAAAAGCAAUUUAACUUAUGAUUCAACCAAUGUUUUUGUGUUUUAUAUUAUAAUCAUUGAAAUAAAAUAAUUAUAAAUGUCUUUCAGUUUUAAAUUUGUUUUCAAAUAAGAUUAUAACAAUAUUUUAUCUUAACAAAUGCUUUUUUCGAUGGUCCUUCAUAAAAACAAAUUAAGAGUUUCUAGCAUGAGAUUAAAUAUCUCUCUCUCUCUCUCUCUCUCUAUAUAUAUAUUAUAUAUAUAUAUAUAUAUAUAUAUAUAUAACAAUGUUAUGAUGUAGUCUUGGUUUAGUGAUGAUAACUUUGUUUUUUUUUGUAUUUAUCAACACAUGUAAUUUUCAUUUAGUUUUAUUAAAUACAUGUAUUAAUUUUUUAAUUAACAAUUAAUCUUUUUAUUAAAUUUGAAAAAUGCAGUGGCAAUGCUUGCUAAUUCAUUUUUUUAAGAUGAGAAAAAUUGAUUCCAUCCACAAUGCUAGCACAUGUUAACUGACUAGUACAUCAUUAAUGGAGGGUUUUUUUUUUUUUUUUUUUUUUCCCCGCAGGGGAUUUGAUGGACCGUGUAUCAUUCAUAAUGCACCUAAAUUUACUAUUGUGACUCUUUUUCUCUGUAGGAAAUCUAACCUAUUUAAACGUUCGAUUCUCAUGGAAACCAAGUUAAUCCUUGUUUUUUAAAAAAAUUAAGUUUUUUAUUAAAAAUUAAUUUUUUUUAUAUGUUUUGAAUCGUUUUAAUGUGCUGAUCUCAAAAAUAAUUUUUAAAAAUAAAAAAAAUUAAGUUUUUUAUUAAAAAUUAAUUUUUUUUAUAUGUUUUGAAUCGUUUUAAUGUGCUGAUCUCAAAAAUAAUUUUUAAAAAUAAAAAAAAUAUUAUUUUAAUAUAUUUUAACAUCAAAAAUACUUUAAAAAACAACUACAAGCACAAUUCCACACUCUUAAUGUCUUACUCAACAAGGGUUCUUUAAAGUCAAUAUAACAACAACACGUAAACCUGAAUUAUGGUAUCAUCUCUUAACAAAACUAUACUUUCCUUGUCAUAUAAUUUUUUAUUUAAAAAUAUAUUAAAACCCGAGUUUUUUUUAAAAAUAUUUUUUUUAUUAAAAGUUAAUGUUUUUUACAUGUUUUGAAUCGUUUUGAUACGCUGAUCUUAAAAAUAAUUUUUAAAAAUAAAAAAAAAUAUUAUUUUGAUAUAUUUUAGCAUCAAAAGUACUUUAAAAAACAACUUCAAGCAUAAUUCCAGACUCUUAAUGUCUUACUUAACAAGGUUUCUUUAAAGUCAAUAUAACAACAACACGUAAACCUGAAUUAUGGUAUCAUUUCUUAACAAACUAUACUUUCCUUGUCACAUAAUAAUUAUUUUUUAAAAUAUUUUUUAUUUAAAAAUAUAUUAAAAACCCAAGUUUUAAAAAAUAAUAAUUUUUUUAUUAAAAGUUAAUGUUUUUUACAUGUUUUGAAUCGUUUUGAUGCGCUGAUCUUAAAAAUAAUUUUUAAAAAUAAAAAUAAUAUUAUUUUAAUAUAUUUUAGCAUCAAAAGUACUUUAAAAAAUAACUGCAAGCACAAUUCCAGACUCUUAAUAUAUUACUUAACAAGGGUUCUUUAAAGUCAAUAUAACAACAAUACGUAAACCUGAAUUAUGGUAUCAUCUCUUAACAAAACUAUACUUUCCUUGUCACAUAAUAAUUUUUUUAAAAAAUAUUUUUUAUUUAAAAAUAUAUUAAAACCCGUGUUUUAAAAAAAAUUAAUUUUUUUUAUUAAAAGUUAAUGUUUUUUACAUGUUUUGAAUUGUUUUGAUGCGUUGAUCUUAAAAAUAAAUUUUUAUUUUUUUAAAAAAAUAUUAUUUUGAUAUAUUUUAGCAUGAAAAAUAUUUUAAAAUAUAAUUACAAGCAUACUUACAUACUCUUAAUGUCUUAUUUAACAAGGGUUCUUUAAGGUCAAUAUAACAACAACACGUAAACCUGAAUUAUGGUACCAUCUUUUAACAAAACUAUACUUUUUUUGUCACAUAAUAAUUAUUUUUUAAAAUAUUUUUUAUUUAAAAAUAUAUUAAAAAAAUAUUUUUUAUUUUUUAAAAUAAUUUUUAAAUUACCAUCUUAAAAUAUCUAAAAACAUAAAAAAUUAGUUUAAAAUAAAAAUAUAUAAAAUAUUUAGGCGUUCAUCUCCUAGGAAGAACAAGUAUGGCCGCAGAUAAAAUCGAGCAAGGAGCUAGGACAGCCUUUUAUCAUCAAUUUAGUUUUGUGGCAAGAAAUAUUUUAAUUAUAGACUCGAUCUGAUAAACAUAUCUCAUCAUAUAGCUGCAGGAAGCAAGGGAAGACUCUUUAAAAAAGCGCGGACUCCACAGUUUUUUUUUAAAAAAUAACUGUUAAAUUUUUAAAACUAUUAUAAUCUUAUUAAAAAACAAAUUAAAAAUUAAUUUAAUAUUAUAUUAGUUUUUACUUUUCAAAUUAUUUUUCACUUUAAAAAAUAUUAAACCCAAAUUUUUUAUAUUUUGUUUAAAGAUUUUAAUAUACCAUGUAAAUAAUAAUAAAAAUCUUUUAAAAAAAUUACUUUAAUAUAUUUUUAAUUGAAAAAUAUUUUUUAAAGUAGCUUAAACCACAAUACUAAACACAUAUUAACAACCAAAACACUAUUAAAAAAUAAAAUUAAAAAUUAAAAGAAAAUUAAAUUACUAUUCAAAUCAAUAAUAAUUUAUCUCUUCCUAGAGUCCCAAUAAGUUUUAAUUUAAAAGAUGUUUGGAAUUAUAGUAUAAAAUACUUUUCAAAAUUUUUUUAAUUUUAUUUUUAAUAUAAACAGAUCAAAAUUAUAUAAAAAAACAUUAAUUUAAUAGUUUUUUAAAAUCAAAUCUUGCCGUGAUUAACAUAUCUAAUUUUUUUUAUACUCCAUCCUCGGAUGACCAUAAUGACCUCAUCUCAGCAACCCACCAAGCACGUCCUCCAUCAACAAUCAUCUCUUCUGUUUUACCCCUUUCAAAAGUAGAGAAUCAUGAAGACAUUCCAAACCCAGUAGUGUUGAGAAACCAAACAUAUUCUAUAUUUCGAAUUCUUAAUAGUUCAAAGAAAUUGCCACCAAGGACUUGCAAAUGCUGGCUGAUGGCGUUGGCUUGCAUGUUUGGCACAAUGCCAGUAUUUUAACCUGCCACUUGCAUAUUUUCCCGUUUCAUUAUUACAGAAGCAGGGGAUUUGAAAGGAAAAUAAGACCAGCAAACUACUAUCCACAUACAAGUGGCAGCAGCACCUGUUUAGUCACUCAUCAGGCCCAUUGUUGACCUUUAUCUCUAGGAGCCUGUCAACUGGUUGCCUGCAGAUGGGGCAUCUGUUCGUUUGGAACCUCAAAACCUUUGCACAUCCACUGCACAUACACUGCAACGUGGGAGAAGAAGAAGGGUGAAAAAAAAACAAAGAAAGAAAGCAAAAGCAAAAAGAUCACUAGGCUAAUGUGUCACCAACAGAUAUCGACUGGAUUUCUAAAAUCAGAUUACUUAAAUAACCACUUAAAUGGAAAUUCAUGUCGAAGCAUUUUAGUCUAUUAAUUCACCAUGGUUACAUUGUUAAUGCACUGGCAGUAGUACACAACAUUCCAGACAGUUCAGCCUUGAACCUUCACAUGGAAUUCACAAGACUCUCUUAAUGCAGCAUUUUUGCAAUUGCAUUGGAUAUAGACACAAAACAGCAGGAAAAGUGUCAUGCUCAUGCCCGUUGCUAUAUAAUGUUCAAGGAAACCGUUUUCUGUAGCCUUCCUUCACAACUUAACAGAAUGAUUUUUCACCAUGAUAAAUAGUCCUUGCUUGAAAAACAAUUCCUAAAAUAUGAACAGUGGGUAAAGAGCAUCACUUCCUUGUUUCUUCCCCUUCAUGAUCUAAACUACCCCAGCCCAGUGAAAAAGGUAAAACGAGAGAGAAAGAGAGGCAAAAGAAAAAUAAAGAAAAUAGGGCUUACCAUGUGCCGGCAAGGAAGAACGGUAGUGUCCCGUGGUUCUGACAGGCAAAUGACACAUUCUUUACCUGGGUCAUUUGCAUCAACAUCACCAUCAACAGAAUUUCCAAUCCCGUAUAUCUCCUGAAGCUCAUAUCUCAUCCCAUUCACCCAGAGGAUCUGCUUCAUCACCCUUACUUGGUACUCACCUUUCUCCUUCUCAAACACUGCAUGUGUUAUCUGAGAGUUCAUAGCUCCAGACAUUUGGUUUCCUUCUGUUCCCUUUUGAUUAGCAGGGAAUGCCUCUGCUUUUACUGCUAGAGGAUAGGCAUCCAUCUCACCCUUUUUACCAACUCUUUCUCCUCAAACAAGGUGAAAUCAAUCCCUGUCCCAGAAGGCUGUCUGAACUUCUGGCCCAGACCUUGUUGGAAAUUAACUGUUACUGGUGGAAGGAGGUCUGCCUUCGUUGGUGUCAGGAUACAAUCCUCGCCUUCUUUUGCAAAGAAAAUAAUAGUGAUGCUGUUUGCAGAUCAAAGAAAUGCCGAGUGUUGCAAGAAAUUAAUACCAGAUGCUCAAUAACAAGAAAUGCAAAAGAGGAAAAAAUAAUUCAGACAUUCAGCUGAAAUGCAUAUAACCAAGAUUAAAACCAAUUUCUAUGACUGAACACAAAGCUUCUAUGAAUUCAAUAAACUCAGAGUGGAUCAGAAUUUAUGCAUGUCUUGCAAAAGAAAGUACCAAGAAAGCAUCCACAAUACAUCAAAAAGAUCAAUGAUGAUACCGACAGUAGCAAUUAGGAAAUACUCCCGAGCAAAGUCAAAUGCAUGGAAAAAAAAAAAAAAAAAAAACAGUUCAUCAUUCCACAAUCAUUUACCAUUCCCUUUGUUUAUGAGUUACUAAGCUAAAUGCUGAACGAUGAUUAUGAGAUUGUUAGCCAGACUUUUUCACAGAGUAUUAUUUUGUGAUAGAAAUUGACAUGAUUAGGACAAAUGAUCUACAUUUACUAUCUGAUUUCCUUUUAUAGAACACCAUAGUUUCCAGCUAAGAAAGUGACAUGUACUGAAAAUGAUAGUGUCUUUCACUCGAUUCAAGCGAUUGAAACUCUUAUGAAUGACAUCCAAUUGAUAAAAAUUGCAUUUUUGGGCUCCAAGCUUGAUUUUCCAUAAUGAUUAUGAGCACUUAAAGGGCGACAACUUUCUUUGCGAUUGAAACUCUUAUGAAUGACAUCCAAUUGAUAAAAAAUGCAUUUUUGGGCUCCAAGCUUGAUUUUCCAUAAUGAUUAUGAGCACUUAAAGGGCAACAACUUUCUUUUUUAUUUUUAUUUUUAUUUUUUUAUGAGGACACAACUCAAAAAUAAAAGGUCCACUAUCCAAUUACAGCAUACCACUGCAGAGGGCAAAAUGAGGGAGUUUACAAGCUUCCCAGCCCUUGAACCUUAUUGCAUGAGAUAGGAGUGGUGCUCUCAAGAUUCAAACCCCAAACUUCACAGAUGCAUGUCUAUUUUAACAUUCCACCAAGAAUGACCCCUAUGUAAUUGGAUUGGAAGAACAAAAAACCAUUCCAUUUAUCAGUCAUGAUAAAAUCCCAUUAAGAACAGAAUACCAUACAGUCUUUAAAACAUAGCACAAGCUGAGAAACCUAACUAAACACCCGUUCCGAUGUUCUCUUCACUGAAGAGUCAUUCAGAAAUAACCCCAGAUUCAUCAUCUCGUCAAUUUUGUGAACAAUCCCAAUUUCUAAGACAAGAUUAGAUGUCUUAAGCAGGCCCAAGGAUCUCUGAUUAGGAAAAUCCUCUGAAAUAACUUGCCUGAAAAUAAAUAUAUUCUACCAAAUCAAUCUUCACUACACAAAAGGAUAGGUUUCAACUUCGGGCAGUUAAACCAUUUCCUUCAAGCUGUCAAAUCACCAUACAAAACUCCAGGUAUGCUAAACGCAAAAUUCUUACUUGCAAGUAAUGUAAUCCCUAAUAAGAACGUCAAGUUAGCUCUUGCUUUCUACCAUUCUAUCCAAGGAGUAACUUUGACAUUCGUACAUCUAUAAAAGUGGAUUCACUCCGAGAACAAUCCUCAACAAUGAUAGCUAAAAAAUACAAUUUUCGAAUAUUGGCAACAUAUCAAGAUGAUUAUCACCAAGUAGUGAUCAAACCAUGUAAAAUGAAAUUAUUUGUAAAUCAUCCACUGACCCUACUAGCAAGAAGUUAAACCAAGGAGUCAACAAUCAAGAUUUUAUAUAAAUACUCAUUCAAAAUUCUCUCAAGUCAAAAACUUUCAAAGUCAAAUUACUUUACGAAGAACAAGCUCCUUCAACAAUCAAAAUCCAGUGCUGCUAUUAAACAAUGACGGAAAAAACCUUCGAAAAAAAAAAAAAAAUCUUUCUACACAUAUGCAAUAACAAGAGUACAGCAUCAAAAUAAAAACAAAAACAAUUUUUAAAACAAAGCUUUAACCUUUACCUUCCAGCAACAGUAGCAUCAAAUGUGAACGUAACAAGAUAGCUCCCUGGAUUCUCCUCGUCCGGUUCAAUCCUCAAACUCUCCUUCUUCAAAUUAACAUCAUUCCUUAUAGUAACCGCCUUCUGGUGCUCCACAUAAGGCGCCGGUUGGGGCAUCAUUGGGCACCUCCCACCCACCCAAUGAGCCGCCGGAUGGUCCACCCGGUGGUGAUGAUCAUACGGAGCUGGCAAAGGCACAGGCAUCGCUGUUGGCUGGGCUGGGUAGUAGCCAGGGUGCUGGUAGUAUCGUGGAGGGUUAGGGUUUGGGUAUUGCGAAGGGUAAGGUGUUGCCGCGGCGAAAACGUAACGGUUGGCCGUGAUUUCAGGCUGUGGGGGUGCUGGCGUUGGAGGUGGAGGGUGGCUCCGCCGGCUGCCGAGGCUCCGCCUGUUGUUAACAUUGUUUCUGCUGCUGAUGUUGCCCAUGAUGAAGUUUUGGGUUGGGUUGGACUGUUUCUGUCUUUUUUAGGUUCACAGUUUGCUAAAAAAACAGGUGAGAGAAUUAUCCAGUAGCUUUGUUUAGCUGUAACUGACAGAAGCGGAUCUGGAACUUUCAACGGUUCUGUUUUUUGUUUUAUUUUUGUUUUAAUGGCAAUCAUAGAAAGGAAGGAAACGAAGGGAAAGUUUUCGGUUAGGAAGGAAAUGGAGGGAAACAACGAGGAGAUUUUUUAUUUCUGCUUUUGUUUGCUGUUUAUACAACAACAACAAGGAGAAGAGAGGGAGGAGGAGGAGAAAUGAUUUUGCAAAAAGAGAAGAACACGAGGGAUGAAGAGAGGAUGGAGGAGGAGGAGGAGGAGGGGAAUCUGGGGGUGGGUGGUAUAAUGGGAUUGCGUAAAGCUCCACCCACAAUCAGAUCAUGCCAAAGUUGGCUGCUUUUUUUUCUUUUAUUAUUUUUUUUUCAUUAAUUUAUUGAUUAGUGGGAAAAAAUUUCAACUUUUUUAGUUGGAUUUGUUAUUAUCUAAAAGAGCAAAACAAGUUGGUAUUAUUAUUUAUUAUAGUUUGAGUGCGGUUGUUUAUAUUUGUAAGUGUAUUUUUAAGAAUAUUUUAUUUGAAAAAAAAAAUUAAAUUAAUAUUAUUUUUAGUAUUUUCUUAAUAGUUUUAAGGUGUUAAUAUUAAAAAUAAAAAAUAUUUUAAUAUAAUUUUAAAUGAAAAGUAGUUUACACUACAUUAUUAAAUACCCAAUCAAUACUAUUAAUUUAAAGUAUUGAGGUUCCUAUUAUAUUUGUAUCAUAUCAUAGUAAUUGUUUGAUUAUUUUCUCCAGAUAAAUAAGAAAAAAAUAAUAAAAAAAAGGGCAUGAAUUUUUAUCUAUUUUUUUUAAAGUAUAAAAAAUUACUUAAAAAUGGUUCCAAAAUAUAUGUGUAUGUGUGUGUUAUAUUAAUAUCGAAGUAUUGUUGAUGGAUUGAUCAUUGAUUCUUUAAUCAAUAUGCUAUUUGUCUUUUGUUUUAUCUUUUAUAUAAGAAAUAAAUUACAAUGAGAAACUGAAUCUCGAUUAAAGAUAUAUAGCAGCCUUAUAAAUCAAAGUGAAGUGUGGAGUUCUAAACUUAACUUUCAUAGGUUAAAAGUACAUGAGAAAGAUAUGUAAUAUGCAUGAAAAUCUUAGCCUAACCCAAUAUAUCCAACAUGCUCGGAUAAGAACAAAAUGAAUAGGUCAAGUAUAUAUUUUUUAAAAAUAUCAAAAGCUGGGUUAGAUAUAAUUAUAGGUCAAAACCCAACCCACUAUAUUUAUAAACACACAUAAUUAAAAUUAAGUAAAAAUAGUUUAUUGAUCAUGUUUAUAAUGACAAAACUUACUCUAACACUACCAAAUAUGAUGAUGGAAAGGUUAAAGUACAUUGUUUUUUUUUUUUAAUAUUAAAGUUAAUGUAUAAAUUAAAGAUGAGCCUAAAAUAACCUAUAUGCAUGAAAGUUUAUUCAAAGAUUAUUAUAAUAAUAUGAUACCGUUACUCCAUGCUUAUAAAGAUUGUUUUGCUUGGGAUUAUGAUGAGAUUCUUGAGCUAGCCAUAAGUUUGAUCAAACAUCCAUUAUCAACCUAACUUGGGUUUAAGACAUAAAGCAACAUCUUUUGAGAAUGACUUUAUGUGUGAUUGAUCAUGUAAAAAAGGAAAUAAAAUGAAUGUUAAAGGAUGGAUUCAUUAAGCCAACUAGAUAUGUUAAAUAGAUUUCUAAUAUUAUGCUAAUACUAAAAAAAAAAUGGAAAACUAAGAUUUUAUGUAGAUUUAAUAAAUCUUAAUUUUAUAACAUCAAAUGAUAAAUAUCCAAUGUCAAUGACUAAUAUAUCAAUCGAUUCAAUAGCAAGGAAUGACAUCUUUAGUUUUAUGAAUGGCUAUUCAGGUUAUAAUUAGAUUGUCAUCACUAAAAUGAUGUUUCAAAGACCGUUUUUAGAUGUCCUGGCUCAUUAAAAAUAUAUGAGUAGGUAGUUAUGUCAUUUAUCCUUAAUAAUAUUAGUGUUACUCAUAACAAGCUAUGAUUUUGUUUUUUCAUAACAUAAUUAAUCAUAACAUAGAGGUCUAUAUUAAUGAUGUUAUGAUGAAAUAAAAAUAAAAAUCUAUUUAUUUAGACAAGCUAUAUUAUAUCCUUAAGUGAAUGCGAAUGCAUAAUCUCAAGAUAAAUUCAUUAAAAUAUGCAUUUUGUAUGCAUGUAUAGGGGUAGACAAAAACAAAGUAAGGGGGGUUAUGAAAGCUUGAUCUCCAUAAAUAAAAAAGAAAUUGUAAAGCUUUGUAAAUAAAAUUAAUUUUUUAAAGAGGUUCAUAUCAAACUCUUUAAGAAAGAUUAUGUCAUUUACUAAACUACCAAGAUGGAAUAACAUAUAUAAGUUUCAAUGGAUUAAUAUCAAAUUGCAUUUCAAGAAAUAAAAACUUAUCUAACUAAACCUUUAGCAUUAACCAUACCAAAGCCUAUGAAGCCUUUAAGGCUAUAUAUUUUAGUUGUACAAGGGUUGAUUAGAAAAAUGAAAUUGGCUAUAAACAAGCUAUUAAUUAUCUCGAUCAUGUCUUUAUAGAGGAUGAAGAAUGAAAUAUUUUAAUAGAAAAACUUUGUUUAUCCUUAUGUUUUAUUGGUGUAAAGUUAUAUUGGUACAUACUAAUAGUUAAACUAUGUAUACUAUAAAAUAAAUUUGAUAAAAUACAUAUUAUCCAAACCUUUCUCUCACGAUCAAAUUGGUAAUUAGAUAUUAACAUUGUUUGAACUUGAUUUACAUUGUAUUCCAUAAAAAAUAGUAAAAGUCAAGCUUUGACUAAUUUAUUAGUUGAUCACCACUACCUUGAUAUCGACAAUGAACUGGAAUAAGAUAUGAAUGUUGUUAACGCAAGACUUGUUUCACAGAUGUUAUGGUUUGAUGGAUUAAAAACAAAAAAUAAAGCUUGUGCAUAUGUGUUAAUAAUUUCUCUAAAAGGUCAUAAAAUGAUUUUAUUAUUUUAGCUUCAUUUUUCUUAUACUAAUAAUCAAGCUAUAUAUAAGGCCUUAGUCAUAAUUUUAAAGAUACUUAUAGAUUUAAAAGCUUAAUAAGCUAGAGUAACAAGAUAUUCGUUACUUAUUAUAAAAAAGUUGGCUAGUGAGUAUACAUGUGAACACUAACUUUAUAUUAUACGGUAAACAAACACUUUAUUAAUAGAUUUCCUAAUUUAAUUAUUUUUUUGUAAGAGGAAAUAGUAUAUAAACCAAUAACUUGGCUGAAUAUGGAUCAAGAUUAAAAUGGUCAUCGCUCAUCAUGACAUUAUUUAUAUGAGGAUUAUUAAUUGACUAACAUAGAUAAUAUACAUUAAGGAUAUGAUGAUAAGAAAAGGUUCAUAUUAUAUAGUAAGAAAAGCACAAAAUAGUAAGAUAAAACUAUUGUAAAACUUUUCUACCAAGUAACAAGUAAAAUGUCUCAAUAAAUCAAGUGGCAUUGAUCCACAAAAUAAUUAAGGAGAAGAAAUCAAAUCUUAUGUGUAGUAUCCUUCAUAAAAAGUUUAAGGUUAUUUAGACUAAAUGUAUUCAAUUAUAUUUUCCUUGAAGAUGAAUUAUGUAAAAGAUAUAAAACUAGAAUUUUUCUUAGAUAUUUAGGACCAAAAGAAGAAUUAUUAGUCAUGAUUGAUGUUUAUAAAGGACUUUUUAGGGUUGUUGAUUACUCAAAUAUUAUUUUGAUAAAUAUGAUACCAGUUUAUCAUUUCUAUAUUCUAAUUGGGAGAAACUAUACAAUAGGAACUUAAUCCUAAUAAGAGACAUCUAAAAACCUCAUAAAAUCAAGAAAAAUAUAAGGAUUUAAGAGUUCAAAGCUUUAAAAAAGGUAAUUUCCUUCAUAACAACACCACAUAAGGAAAAUAACAUGUUUAAAAUGAAGAAGAUAAAUAAUUUGAAUAAAUCUAUUUGUAGGAAAAUAAAGCAAAGCCGUAAAGAAAGCAAUAAAAACCCUUCAGAGGAAUAUAUAUAUAUAUAUAUAUAUAUAUAUAUAUAUAUAUAUAUAUAUAUAUAUAUAUAUAUAUAUGUUCUAGUUAUUGUUCAAAGUGACUAUAUGACGUUUUAUAUAUUGAUACAAAGUUUAAAUCUUGUUUAAACAUGUAAAUCCUAAUUUAUAUAAAUGUAUAAGUAAAGAGACUUUAUUAGAUUAUAAUGCAAUCUAAAAUCCUUAUUUAUUGAUAUUAUAUGAAUCAUAAGUUAAACUUAUGGAUUCUUACUGGUUAUUCUAUUAAUGACUCUUACACUAAAUAAUACUAGGCUCGCUGUAAUAGAGAUAGUGUGAGAGAGCUAUGUAAAGAAUGUAAUAUUGUACCAUGUAGAGAUCUCAAAAGGAAUGGUGUUUUUCAAUCAAGCAAAUAUGGAAUUUGAGGCAAAGCCAAGAGUUCAUAAAAGGGUCUGGUUAAUGUUUCAAAAAUCAAUAGGUGUCCUCGUGGGUGGGAAUCAUACCUCCUCCAGGUUUUGCACUCGCUAAGUCCCCUAGCUUUCUCUUAGCUUGCCUUAUCUCUAUUUUGAUUGCUAUUUUUUUUAUUAAAGACUCGAUCUUUUUGAAAAAAACUAGUAAAACUUGUCUUUGGCACCACUCUUGUGGUUGAAAGUGAAAGAAACAUGAAUUUGAAGGCCUUGAGAUGCCAGAUACUUAGUGGAUCCAUAGCCAGACGUGUACUUCUACGAGCAUUUAUGCUUGCCACGGAUAUUUCCAUCAUUCCUUUGUUGCAGAUCUUGUCUGGGUCUGAUCCUGGGUUGUUGCUUGAUUCUGUGAGGUACAAGGAAUGUGAUUUCCCCCUUAUGUUUAUGGGCUCAAAUUUGUUAAAGAAUCGAUUUUUAAAGCCAAUCUGGGGCACAAUUGACUGCAAGGACGGUAUGAAUGUGACAACUAAUGUUGCUAGAGAGCUAAUGGGUAUGCAAAUGAUAGAUUCUAUGAUGUACAUCAUGGGAAUUAUAAUCCAUCUCGUAAAGCUAAAUCUAAUAUGCAAGAGGAUUUAGAUGGUCCAAUGACAAGAGGGAGAGCGAAACAACUACAACGGGCCUUGAGGAAUCAAAUUGCGAUGAUUGAAGCUGCGUCGAAGUUAAAAAUUAACAAUCAGUUUGAAAUUGGUUCAAGGUGCUUAUUUGCCUACAAUUGGAAAUUGGAGAUGGGAAAAGCCCUUAAUGGUUCUUUUCAUGCUGGCUACUUGUAUUUGGAUUGAUAAUGCAAGUGAAGGAAUUGAUGUUGUUUACGGUCAGAACAGUAGAUGGAUUUGAACCCGAAUUUGAAGUCAUCAUGCAUGUGAAAAAGAUUUAUCUAGGUAAAAUUCAAGUUCAGAACGUGAUCUUUUCUAUUGUCCAACCAUGAUUGCAUUGACUUUUGUGUCAAAAGUUAUGGCUAUUUUAAAUUUGGCUGCUUAUGUUUCAGAAAUGUAAAAAAAAAUGUUAUUAGUUAAAUUUGUCUACUUACUUUAUUAAAAGUCUAGUUUUUAGGCUUGACUUCUGUCAUGUUGAAUUCCUAACUUUAGAGGGAUGUUCCAAUAAAUAUAGUAUCAGAAUAUGUAAUAAACUUUUGGCCAAGAUUUGAAACUUAAUUCAGAGAAUUAAAGUUGUUCUUCCAAAUUGUUUUGUGAAGAACCAUACCUAACUUAUCACUCUUCAAUCACAAAGAGUGUGGCAUCGAAAUCCUAGAUUGAUCUUUGUGGCAUCCAGAUCAACUUAUCAAAGUAUCAUUCUAGUCUAUCCUCCAUCUUAUUUAUCUUAAAAUCACUACAAUCCAGCCUAAAUACCAAAAGAAAGACAACACAACCAAACUUAUCCUUCAUCCAUUUUUGUUAGAAUCAUUGUUGCUGAUUUUCAAAUCAUUCAUGGUAUAUCAUCUGGUAUCAGAGCAUCAGUUGCGAUUUAAGAUAGGAGCCAUAAACAACAACAACAAGAAGAAAGGUUUGCUGGAAUUGAGGUUGAUAAACUUAAUUAUGGCUGGAGAUAAAGAAGAUUUUCCAAGAGGGUUAAGUUUGGAACAUGCAUAGGUUAUGGGCUUACAAUGAUCUCAUGCUGAGAUUCGAGAUGAAAUGACUGGAAUUCGUGAGCAGUUGAAUACCUUUAUGCAAAUGAUGCAAAUAAAUAAUUUGCAACCCAACAGAGGCAAGCACUUAGGGUGCCACGAAAUGAUAUUAUAGAAGUUGACGAAGAUCCAAAUGGGGAUGAUGAGGCUGAUGAUAGGGUCAAACCAAGAAGGCAUAAUUAUAAUCCUCCUAAUGGUCUCAAAUUUAACAUUCCACUGUUUAGAGGAAGUAGUUCACCUGAGGAAUACUUGGAGUGGAUUCAGAAGGUUGAAAAGGUGUCUGAAUGGUAUGAAUAUUCUAAAGAAAGGAAGUGCAAGGUGGCAGCACUUGAGUUUACAUAUUAUGCUUUUUUAUGGUGGGAAAACUUAAAGAUUCAAAGGAGAAGGGAUGGAGAAAAGGAGAAGGGAUGGAGAAGAGGAGAUUACAACAUGGGUAACUAUGAAAAGAGUGAUAAAGAAGAGAUUUAUUCCUGAUUAUUAUAAAUAGGAGCUAUACAUCAGACUUCAGACUUUGCGACAAGGAUCUUUGAGCGUGGAAUAGUUUGAGUUGCUUCUGAUUCGAUGCGAAUUGAUGGAACCUCAAGAGCAAACAAUAACUAGAUUUCUUGAAGGGUUGAGGAAGGAUAUAGCUAAUGUUGUUGAAUUACAGCCGUACAUCUUCCUUGAGGAAGUUAUAAAGCUUGCAACCCGAGUAGAGAGGCAGCAGAGACGAGGAGGUGUCCGAACUGGUGUAACUAUGUCAAGCACGACAAGGGUUGUUUCUACGCCUACACGAACAUGGAGCACACCUAAACGAGAUGAGAAGGUGGAGUUUAGCAAGGGGAAUACCAGUUCUAAUUCUUUGAAGGAAAAGGAGAAGGUGACAGAACCUCAACAUCCUAAGAGGUCUCGGGACAUCAAGUGCUUCAAGUGCUAGAACAUGGGCACAUUGCUUCGAGAUGUCCAAAUAAAAAGGUGAUGAUUUUGUAUGGGGAUCAUGGAGAGCUGAUCGAUGGAGAUGAGGUUGAAACUAAAGAUGAAAAUGAGGUACAAGUGGCUGAACAAAAAGAGGAUUUCGAACUAGUGAAGGGAGAUUUGUUAGUUGUUCAACGGGUUCUGAAUGCACAAAUUAAUGUUAGUGAUGAGUAACGCGAGAACAUCUUUCAUACUCGAUGUCAAAUUCGAGAUAAGGUGUGUGGGAUGAUCAUUGAUAAUGGAAGUUGCACUAAUGUUGCGUCAACUACCUUGGUGGAGAAAUUGGGUUUAACUACCCUUCCACAUCCCAAGCCAUAUAGUUUGCGAUGGCUGAAUGAGAAUGGGGAGAUUCGGGUGACAAAGCAAGUUCGUGUACCUUUUUCCAUUAAAACCUAUCACGACGAGGUUUUGUGUGACGUUGCGCCAAUGUCAGCUAGCCAUUUGUUGUUAGGUCGUCCAUGGCAGUUUGAUAAGGAUGUGACCUACAAUGGACGAAAGAACACUUAUUCUUUUAUGCUGAAUGGAAAGAAGGUGAACUUGUUACCACUGAGUUCUCAACAGGUUAGAGAGGAUCAGUUACGAAGCCAACAAAAGGAGGUGACAUCACGAAAGGGAUGUUGUUAGCAAAAAAAGGAGACAUCAAACAAGCAUUAGCCACGAUAGGGAUUGUUUUCAUGGUCUGGGCAAAGCAACUACUACAAGUAGAAGGAUUGGACUUACCAAGACAGAUUAAGGAAUUACUUGAAGAAUUUAAAGAUGUGUUUCCAGAUGAAUUACCUAAAGGGUUACCACCUAUUCGUGGAUUGAGCAUCAAAUUGAUUUGGUGCCGGGAGCUUCACUUCCUAAUAGACCAGCAUACAGAUGUAAUCCAGAGGAAGCGAAAGAGAUUCAAAGGCAGGUCGGUGAGCUCUUAGAGAAGGGCUAUGUGCGAGAAUCACUUAGUCCAUGUUCCGUACCUACUUUGCUUGUACCGAAGAAAUGGUACCAUGAGGAUGUGUAUGGACAGCCGCUAUCAACAAAAUAACAGUUAAGUAUCGAUUUUAUACCCAGACUUGAUGAUUUGCUUGAUGAGUUGCAUGGUGCUGCAUUGUUUUCUAAAGUCGAUUUGAUGAGUGGCUAUCACCAAAUUAGAAUGAAAGAGGGAGAUGAAUGGAAAACAACAUUUAAAACUAAACAGGGGUUAUAUGAAUGGAUGGUAAUGCCGUUUGGGUUAUCUAAUGCCUAGUACAUUUAUGAGGCUUAUGAAUCAUGUUUUAAUGAAGUAUAUUGAGCUGUUUGUUGUAGUAUAUUUUGACGACAUCCUGGUGUAUAGCAAGACCUUUAAUAAUCAUGUGAAACAUCUUAGAAUUGUGUUUGAGACUUUGCAAGAUUCUAAGUUGUAUGAGAAAUUCACAAAGUUUUACUUCUAUAAAGAAAGUGUCAUGUUUCUUGGAUAUAUUAUCUCUAGCAGGGGAGUUAGAGUUGAUGAGGAGAAAAUUAAGGCAAUUCGAGACUGGCCAAAACCUGCUAGUAUCGCUGAUGUGAGGAGUUUUCAUGGUUUAGCUUCUUUCUACAGGCGAUUUGUGAAAGACUUCAGCUCUAUUGUUGCUCCUAUGACAGAAUGCUUGAAAAAAGGCAAAGAGUUUAGAUGGAGUGAAGAUGCGCAGAAAGCUUGUGAGCUAAUUAAGGAAAAGUUGUGUACUGCUCCAGUUUUAGCACUUAUAGACUUUGCUAAAACAUUCAAAAUAGAGUGUGAUGCUUUCAGGGUUGGAAUUGGUGCUGUUUUGAUGCAAGAAAAGAGGUCGAUUGCAUUCUUCAGUGAAAAGUUAAAUGGAGCACGUUUGAACUACUCUAUUUACGACAAGGAGUUCUAUGCUUUGAUUCGGGCUCUAGAGGUAUGGUAGCACUACUUGUUGCCUAAAGAAUUUGUUAUACAUAUUGAUCAUGAAUCCUUGAAGUAUCUUAAGUGGCAAAGCAAGAUGAAUUGAAGACACGCUAAAUGGGUGGAGUUUAUGGAGUCAUUUCCUUAUGUCAUAAAGUACAAGAAAUGGCAAGUUAAUGUGGUUGAUGAUGCUCUUUCUAAGAGGUAUGCACUGAUAUCUAUGUUGAAUGCAAGGUUGAUGGGUUUUGAACAAGUGAAGGAUCAGUAUGCCAAUGAUUCCUAUUGGUUUUGAACAAGUGAAGGACCAGUAUGCCAAUGAUUCCUAUUUUGCUAAUGUGGUUGCCGAAUGUGCAAAGGGAGCUUGUGAUGGGUUCUUUAUGCAUGAAGGUUACUUGUUCAAAAUGGGCAGAAUGUGUAUUCCUUCAGGUUCGUUACAGGAGUUGCUUGUGCGAGAGGCUCAUAGUGGUGGUCUUAAUGGUCAUUUUGGGGAGAAGAAGACUUAUGAGCUGCUGAAAGAACAUUUUUUUUAGCCUAGUAUGUUACGGGAUGUACACAAGAUGAUUGAAAGAUGUGGUAUUUGUAAGAGAGCAAGGGAUAAAGAGAAUGCAUAUGGACUAUAUAUGCCAUUACCUAUUCCAGAGCAACCAUGGAUGGAAAUUAGCAUAGACUUCGUACUUGGAUUACCAAGAACACAACGUGGGAAGGAUUUAAUAAUGGUGGUGGUUGAUUGAUUCUCCAAAAUGUUCCAUCUCAUUCCUUGUAACAAAACUAACGAUGCAGUACAUGUUGUUGAUUUGUUCUUUCAAGAGAUUGUUUGUUUGCAUGGAGUUCCUAAAAACAUUGUCUCUGAUCGUGAUACAAAGUUUUUAAGCCACUUUUGGAAGACUCCUUGGAGGAAACUUGGAAUGAAGUUACUUUUCAGUACGGCAUGUCAUUCACAAACUGAUGGACAAACUGAGGUAGUAAACUGAACUUUAUCUUCUUUGUUACGAACUGUUAUACAUAAGAAUAUAAAGAGUUGGGAUACUUGUUUACCUAUUACGGAGUUUGCAUAUAAUCGUAGUGUGCAUAGGGCUACAAAAUUUUCAUCAUUUGAUGUUGUGUAUGGCUUUAAUCCUUGUGUUCCUAUUGAUCUUGUUCAUAUUCCAAUUGAUGAGAGGACAUCUAUGGAUGGAAUUAGAAAUGCAGAAUUGAUGAAGAAACUACAUGAGCAGGUUCGACUGCAUAUUAAGGAGAAAACAACAAAGUAUGCUAAACAAGCUAACAAGGGGCGAAAGAUGGUCAGGUUUGAACCUGGAGAUCUUGUUUGGAUUCAUAUUAGUAAGGGCAGAUUUCCAAGCAAAUGUAAGUCCAAGUUGAUGCCAAGAGCUGAUGGCUCAUUUCGGAUUAUAGAGAAGGUGAAUGACAAUGCGUAUAAGGUAGAUCUUCUUAGUGAUUAUAACAUAUCAGCUACUUUUAAUGUGAAAGACUUGACUCUAUACUUGGAUGAUGAUGAAGAUUCUGAUUUGAGGACAAAUCAUUAUCAACCCGGGGCUGAUGAUGUGCAUCAUGGUAAUUAUAAUCCAUCUCGUAAAGCUGAAUCUAAUAUGCAUGAGGAUUCAGAUGGUCCAAUGACAAGAGCGAGAGCGAAACAACUACAACGGGCCUUGACGAAUCAAAUUGCGAUGAUUGAAUCUGCGUCGGAGUUAAAAAUUAACAAUCAGUUUGAAAUUGGUUCAAGGUGCUUAUUUGCCUACAAUUAGAACUUGGAGAUGGGAAAAGCCCUUAAUGGUUCUUUUGAUGCUAGGCUACUUGUAUUUGGAUUGAUAAUGCAAAUAAGUGAAGGAAUUGAUGUUGUUUACGGUCAGAACAGUAGAUGGAUUUGAACCCGAAUUUGAAGUCAUCCAUUGCAUGUGAUAACAAGACUUAUCUAGGUAAAAUUCAAGUUCGGAACGUGAUCUUUCUAGAUUGUCCAACCAUGAUUGCAUUAGACUUUUGUGUCAAAAGUUAUGGCUGUUUUAAAUUUGGUCUACUUAUGUUUCAGAAAUGUAAAAAAAAGCGUGUGUUAGUUAAAUUUGUCUAGUUAUUUUAUUAAAAGUCUGAGUUUUAGGCUUGACUUCUGUCAUGUUGAAUUUUCCUAACUUUGGAGGGAUGUUCCAAUUAUAAAUAUAGUAUCAGAAUAUGUAAUAAAGACUUUUGGCCAAGAUUUGAAACUUAAUUAAGAGAAUUAAGAGUUGUUCUUCCAAAUUGAUUUUUGUGAAGAACCAUACCUGACUUAUCACUCAUCAAUCACAAAGAGUGUGGCGUUGAAAUCCUAGAUUGAUCUUUGUGGCGUCCAGAUCGACUUGUCAAAGUAUCAUUCUAGUCUAUCAUUCAUCUUAUUUAUCUUAAAAUCACUACAAUCCAACCUAAAUAUCAAAAGAAAGACAGCACAACCAGACCCAUCCUUCAUCCAUUUUCGUUAGAAUCAUUGUUGCCGAUUUUCAAAUCAUUCACGGCACAUCAAUUCUAGUGCGAAAGUUAUCUGCGUCGGUGAAGGAUCGACUCCUGUAGUUUAUGCACUGCGAGAUUUAGGAUUUGUCAAUGCUUUUGGGGUUCAUAGACACCCCUUCUUCUCUCUUAAACAUAAGAGGAUGGUUUAUGAGCUUGAAUAUGCAGAAAAUUCCUUUGAUUUUGUGUUCUCAGGAGACCUAGACAAGGUUUCAGUCCCUGCCAUUGUUGUGCUCGAGAUCGAGCGUGUUCUGAAGCCUGGUGGAAUUGGGGCUAUUCUUGGUGGCCUUAAUAGUUUGAACGCCAAUAGCCUGAUCAGGUCUGCCAUGCCUUUGUCUUCAUUAUUGAAGAAUUCCAACAUUGUAUACGGUGGUUGUUUUCAAGAAAAGAAUUUAUAGUGUUGGCUACUUUCAGCAAUACCAGCUGCCAGCUGAUUGCCCGUCUAUCAUGAAUAAUAGACCUCAUUUGGAGAAUUUAGAACCUCUCACGGAGAUCAAGCAAGGGGAACAUGAGCAAAGCAUAGCUUAUUUGCCCAAGUUCAUUGAUUUGCCCGC
rnacentral:lncRNA from 1 species